GCUGCUGCUUGUGUCGUGGUUGCCAGACUUGUUGUUUCAGCCGGCGUAGUAGCUAGUGUCGUGGUUGCCAGACUUGUUGUUUCAGCCGGCGUAGUAGCUAUUGUCGUGGUUGCCAGACUUGUUGUUUCAGCCGGCGUAGUAGCUAGUGUCGUGGUUGCCAGACUUGUUGUUUCAGCCGGCGUAGUAGCUAUUGUCGUGGUUGCCAGACUUGUUGUUUCAGCCGGCGUAGUAGCUAGUGUCGUGGUUGCCAGACUUGUUUCAGCCGGCGUUGUAGCUAGUG